rnacentral:rRNA from 1 species
GACGGGGGGGUGCAAGCGUUGUUCGGAAUCAUUGGGCGUAAAGCGCGUGCAGGUGGUUUGUAAAGUCAGAUGUGAAAGCCCCGGGCUUAACCCGGGAAGUGCAUUUGAAACUCACAAACUUGAGUAUGGAAGAAGGGUCGGUGGAAUUCCAGGUGUAGUGGUGAAAUACGUAGAUAUCUGGAGGAACACCGGUGGCGAAGGCGGCGACCUGGUCCAAUACUGACACUCAUACGCGAAA